rnacentral:rRNA from 1 species
CCCGGUGGCCAUAGUGAAGAGGUAAUACCCGUUCCCAUCCCGAACACGGAAGUCAAGCUCUUUUACGUCGAUGAUACUGCUUUUUAAGUGGGAAAGUAGAUCGCUGCCGGGC